rnacentral:rRNA from 1 species
AACGAGCGCAACCCCUAUUGUUAGUUGUCCAUCAUUCAAGUUGGGCACUCUAGCGAGACUGCCGGUAAUAAAACCGGAGGAAGUGGGGAUGACGUCAAAUCAUCAUGCCCCUUAUGACCUGGGCUACACACGUGCUACAAUGGUUGGUACAACGAGUUGCGAGUCGGUGACGGCGAGCUAAUCUCUUAAAGCCAAUCUCAGUUCGGAUUGUAGGCUGCAACUCGCCUACAUGAAGUCGGAAUCGCUAGUAAUCGCGGAUCAGCACGCCGCGGUGAAUACGUUCCCGGGCCUU